ensembl:lncRNA
CUAGGAGAUGAAUGCCAGCACAGAGGAGAGGUGGAAGAACAGAAAGAAAGAGAGACAGUCCGACCCAGGGAGAGGGAGAGAGAGUGAGACUCUGACCCAGGAAAAGAGGUGGAAGGGGGAGGUUUACCCAGCCUAGAGGAGCAGAAAAGGGGCCGUACAAACUAAAUGUGUGCCUCACACAGACACAGACCACCGUAGUACAGGUGGAAGAUGUGAACACUCUAUGGACUCAGAGAAUAGUCUCUCAUACCAGCCUUUCGCUCAUGAAUCCUUCAUCAGAAACGUCCUCCACAUAUCUCCUUAACAGAGAAUGAGAGCUAGUCGCUUGGAGACUGAUAUAUUACCAGCAGUAAGAGUUGACAUAUCACCCAGACUGGAUAAACAACUUCCCUUCUCAUAGACAUCGUAAUCUCAACUGAAACAAGCAAAAUAAACCAGCUGACAGCUUGAAUGGGAGCGGGAUCUGAAGGAGAACUGGGAUUUAGAGCUUAUGACUAUGCAU